GAUGAACGCUGGCGGCGUGCCUAACACAUGCAAGUCGAACGAAAAGACGAGGAGCUUGCUCCUCUGACGUUAGCGGCGGGCGGGUGAGUAACACGUGGAUACCCUACCUAUAAGACUGGGAUAACUUCGGGAAACCGGAGCUAAUACCGGAUAACAUGUUGAACCGCAUGGUUCAACAGUGAAAGACGGUCUUGCUGUCACUUAUAGAUGGAUCCGCGCCGCAUUAGCUAGUUGGUAAGGUAACGGCUUACCAAGGCAACGAUGCGUAGCCGACCUGAGAGGGUGAUCGGCCACACUGGAACUGAGACACGGACCAGACUCCUACGGGAGGCAGCAGUAGGGAAUCUUCGGCAAUGGGCGAAAGCCUGACGGAGCAACGCCGCGUGAGUGAAGAAGGUCUUCGGAUCGUAAAACUCUGUUAUUAGGGACGAACAGAUGUGUAAGUAAAUAUGCACGUCUUGACGGUACCUAAUCAAGAAGCAACGGCUAACUACGUG
rnacentral:rRNA from 1 species